AUGACCACCAGGCUCCUUUUCAGCAUGGUGCUUUGCUUCUUGAGAGCAGAACCAACAAAUGCUGGAGUUAUCCAGACACCCAGAUCCAAGGUGAUGGAAAAGGGACAAGAAGCAACUCUGAGAUGUGAACCAAUUUCAGGACACAGUAGUGUUUCCUGGUACAAGCAGACCUCUGUGCGGGGAAUGGAAUUCCUGAUUUCCUUUCAAAACCAGGAGCCUAUAGAUAACACGGGAAUGCCCAAGGAACGAUUCUCAGCUCAGAUGCCCAGUGCGAAGCUCUCCACUCUGAAGAUCCAGACAACACAGCCCCAGGACUCAGCUGUGUAUCUCUGUGCCAGCAGCUUAGCCACAGAGCUACAGAGUCAUAUCCGACCGGGGCAGAAACCGUAUGCUUCCCCUUCCCGGCCCAUCUCACGGAAAGAGUUCUCAGCAGUGAUCCUGGGGACUUCUCAGAACAGGAAGGAUGUCUUGUCUGUCCCCAGAGAAGACAAGAGCAUGUGCUAA